GUGCUCACUUCAGCAGCACAUAUACUAAAACUGGAACGAUACAGAGAAGAUUAGCAUGGCCCCUGCACAAGGAUGACACACAAAUUCGUGAAGUGUUCCAUAUUUUU
rnacentral:snRNA from 1 species